GAUGAAGAACGCAGCGAAAUGCGAUACGUAAUGUGAAUUGCAAAUUCAGUGAAUCAUCGAGUCUUUGAACGCACAUUGCGCCCCCUGGUAUUCCGGGGGGCAUGCCUGUCCGAGCGUCAUUGCUGCCCUCAAGCACGGCUUGUGUGUUGGGCCCCGUCCUCCGAUCCCGGGGGACGGGCCCGAAAGGCAGCGGCGGCACCGCGUCCGGUCCUCGAGCGUAUGGGGCUUUGUCACCCGCUCUGUAGGCCCGGCCGGCGCUUGCCGAUCAACCCAAAUUUUUAUCCAGGUUGACCUCGGAUCAGGUAGGCAUACCCGCUGAACUUAAGCAUAUCAAUAAGCGGAGGA
rnacentral:misc_RNA from 1 species